CAUUGAAUGAACUUAGAUGUAGAUUGUGAAGGCAGUUGCCAUACUCCUGCCUAGACCUUGCAAUGACUGUUGACUGGAGGAGACUGUCUCGACUUCACGAUGGUUGCAAAGAAGAAAUGACUCAGCAAUCAUAAGGUGGACUUUGCAAACAAAACUCAUUUAGUAUCUCUUGGAUACAAGGCCACAGACACACAGGCCCUGACUAGAGAUUGAGAGAAGAUCUACUUGAUGGACCAGAGUAAUGUUUGCUAUGGAGCUGGAGUUUGUUUGGAGACUUUUCAACCAAGCUGCUCGGGAGAGGAAAGCAUACAAGCAAGGCCACUGCCACAGUUUGGGAAAAGAAGAAAGAGGAAGAAGCAAGGAAAUGAGAAGAGAAUGAUGAAGGGGAAAAGGAAAAGGAAGAGCCAGAAGAAAAGGGAGGAAGAGGAGGAGGAGGAGGGGAACACAUCUAUGAAGAUGCUUUGUGUACAAGAAUAAAACUGACAUUUAUUAAGUUUCUAUCAUGUGCCAGGCACUAUUUUAGAUGCUUUUUAUGUUGUUUAGCAAAUGAGGAAAAAAACUGAGUAAUUAGGUAUCUUACUCAACAGCUAGUAGAUGGUAUGUCUGUCUUCCUCCAAAGCUCAAACUUUAUCCUAAGUGAUGAUAAUAAAUAGUUAAAUAGCAGUAUAAUUGAUGAAAUAAACGAUGGAAAUGCUCCACCAGAUGUCAGCACCUAGGUGAUUUAAUGCUUUGAUUUCAAUACGGUUUUCUCAUUUAAAAAAUCUGAACAGACAUCCAGAGUAGUCUAAAAUGUGUUGAAUUUUACUGUCUUGGAAUAUUUUCAGAGUAAUGUUGAUGUUUUCACUAAUUUUCAGUUUGUUAAAGUGCAGUUGUGUCCCAAAGCUUCUUAGUAAAACAUUACUUUAAAAAUCUGAGUCAAAUCAAAUGUCUCAAAAUGACUAAUGAAUAGUAUUAGAUUUGUCAAAUAAACUUAAAAGUUGUGUGACUGAAACAUCCUCUGAAUACUUUUGAAUUUUCAAAAAGUCAAGGUAUUAUAAACAGAGUAGAAUGCUCAAAUAUUAAGUGAAUGGUUCAAAUUGUUUUGACAAAUAUAUAUACAUUCACUCAAGGCAUGGAACAUUUUCAUUAACCAAAAAAAGUUUCUUUGUGCUCUUUGCUGUUUGUUUCUACCGCACUUGA